CUUGCACUCUUCCAACAUCUCUCAGGCUUGGUUGUAAAUUGUAAUAAUCUAUUAGCUUCCUGAUUAUUCUUUUUCCAAACAACACAUUGAUAUGUUUGUGCUCUCGGUUUAGCUUAUUGUCCUAACAACGCUUUCUCCACAUUGUUUAUAUAAUAAAAAGUAUUUAUAAGACCUUAAGAGGCAUUCAUGAUUUAAGGUUUACCAUUUUAAAGAUUUUUAGCAAUAUACAAAAGAAUAAAAUCCAUUUUUUUAAAGAGAAAUUCUUACUAAUAACGUUUUUAUGAUACCCUUUUGAAAAACUACCUUCUUUUUUUGGCAUUUUCAUUUUUUCCCUCUCUUAAAAUUUAAUGGUCAUUUUACCCCUAGUUGAAGGAAUAUUCUUUCCCCAAAAUUUUUAAAAUUUUCCUUCCAAAAUUUUUCCCGCCAAAAAACUUUCGGCAAAAUAUAUAAAAGCAACCGAUAAUCAAAACUGGCGGGAAAAUUUUUGUCAGAAAUUUUUGGCGAGAAAAUUUGGCGGAAAAUUUUUCGGAAGGAAUAUUCUUUUUGUUGGAAAGAAUAUCCUUUCUUCAUCAUUGGUUAUGAUAAAGAAGGGUAAUUUAGUCAUUUGUACAUUGAAGAGGGUAUUUUUGAAAAUGGAUACCUAGAGAGAGUACUUGUAGAAAAGGGUAUCAUAAAAAUGUUAGUUGUGCAAAUCUCCAUUUUUAAAAGACACGACUCUCCAUUAUAACAAUUAAUAUUCGUAAAUUUACUUUUAUUUGGCAUAACAUUUAUAUUCAAUAUUAUAUACAAAGAUUUUAAGUCUCAUAUAUUCCAUAUAUUGUUUUCCAAAAAUUUAUAUUUCUAUUUUUCUAUAAAAAUUUUCCCUUUUUAUUAAUAUUUUUAUAGAAAAUAAUAAAAUUUAAAAAUGUUAAUUAAUGAGAUAUAAAAUAUGUUAACUAAUGAGUUUUAUAACCGCGAUUGGUCGUUUAAAAUCCUAUGUGGACGUCCUAAGGAACUUAAUGCUUCAACUUUUAAAUAGUACUAGGUUUUGAACCCACGCUAUGCGUCGGUAUAUUCGAUAUAAUUUUGUGAAAACUAUUUAUGAUUGACGAUUAAUGAAUUAACUACUCAAAAAAACAUCGUCCAUCUAAAAUUUUAAAUUCAAAAUUAUUUACUUUUCUACCAUAACUUAGUUUUAUGUUUCCAAAAUACUCAUAUCAAAUUUCAUAAAAACAUCAAACAAUGUAACUAACCAAUAUAUCAAUAAAUACUAUAAAACAAAUAAAGAUAUCGGAUUGUGGUUUUUACCUUAGCAUCAUCGGCCUAACAUCAUCUCCAAUGUUAAGAAUUUCCCGACCAGAGAUCCCAAUAUAGACAAUACUCCUAUUACAUAAACCAUAAUAAAGAAAAAAGUUAGAAUUUCACUAAAAUUUUAAAACACAGAAAAUAAUACAACACUAUUAAAAACACAAAUAUAAUCUCGAAUCGAAUAAAAAAACAUAAACAAAUGAUAAGCAAUUCAAAUAAUGCAAAAAAUUCAAAAAACGCAAAAAACAAAGAAAAUAAUAUUAUCAAAAAUAUGAGCUACACCAACAACAAAAAAAUCAGAAUACGAAACUAAUGGAACCAUAUACUAAUGUAGAGGUCGAGACUUUAUAUUUAUUGUUGAAUUGUUAGGGCUAACUGCAUAAUUAUCCAACUUAUUUUUACUUUUUAAAAAUAGAAAAUUUUACUCAAACACAAUAUUCACAAUCUAUCUAUACUAUUAAAAGGGAAGCAUUUUGUAUAAAGUGAGCAUAGUAUAUACAAUUAUUUGUUUGAAGCCAACGGCUCAUUGGUUGUCCAAUCACCAGAAACCCGCGGCGGCCAUCACGAUCCAAACGGACCAUCGGUUAACCUCCAUAGCGAUUCACCAAAACUACCAUCUCUCCCGUCGACUUCCAUCGUGGAACCACA
rnacentral:lncRNA from 1 species